rnacentral:rRNA from 1 species
AUUGAACGCUGGCGGCAUGCCUUACACAUGCAAGUCGAACGGCAGCGCGGGGCAACCUGGCGGCGAGUGGCGAACGGGUGAGUAAUAUAUCGGAACGUACCCUGGAGUGGGGGAUAACGUAGCGAAAGUUACGCUAAUACCGCAUACGACCUAAGGAUGAAAGUGGGGGAUCGCAAGACCUCAUGCUCCUGGAGCGGCCGAUAUCUGAUUAGCUAGUUGGUAGGGUAAAAGCCUACCAAGGCAUCGAUCAGUAGCUGGUCUGAGAGGACGACCAGCCACACUGGAACUGAGACACGGUCCAGACUCCUACGGGAGGCAGCAGUGGGGAAUUUUGGACAAUGGGCGCAAGCCUGAUCCAGCAAUGCCGCGUGAGUGAAGAAGGCCUUCGGGUUGUAAAGCUCUUUUGUCAGGGAAGAAACGGUGCUUUCUAAUACAGAGCGCUAAUGACGGUACCUGAAGAAUAAGCACCGGCUAACUACGUGCCAGCAGCCGCGGUAAUACGUAGGGUGCAAGCGUUAAUCGGAAUUACUGGGCGUAAAGCGUGCGCAGGCGGUUUUGUAAGUCUGUCGUGAAAUCCCCGGGCUCAACCUGGGAAUGGCGAUGGAGACUGCAA